rnacentral:tRNA from 1 species
AAAGGGAGACCUAAUUCCGGUAGGAGACGAAAAAAAAGUAGUCCCUACCAAGAAUCAAUCCCAAAAGGUCGGAGCGAGGCGAAAUUGGCUUUCAAACUAGGUUCUGGGUUCACACAAGACCUGAAUCAGGAACAAGGGCUAUUAGCUCAAGUGGUUAGAGCGCACCCCUGAUAAGGGUGAGGUCCCUGGUUCGAGUCCAGGAUGGCCCACCUGCACAGGUGGCAAAAACAAGAGAAGCGAGGAAUCAGCACCUUAUCUUACUUAUAUAGUAAGAGAGAAUGCUGGCUCUGAGUAAAGAGUCCAGAGGAACCUUGAAAACUGCAUAGAGCUAGGUGAAAAAGCCAAAAAAGAAGACCGCAAG